CGUAUUAUGGCUUAGUUAGUUAAACCGCCGGUCUAUCGAAUACGGAAUCGUGGGAUCGAAUCCCACUGGAACGC
rnacentral:tRNA from 1 species